rnacentral:lncRNA from 1 species
AAUAUUAUAUUAUAUAUGGAGCUACUAUAUUUUUAAAAAUAUAAAAAAUUGAUACUUCUAAUUUUUUUGACCUUUAAAUUAAGAAGCGUAAGAUUGAAAUGAUAGUGAUCUUUUUUAUUUUUUUUUUCUUCUGUAAUCUAGUGAUUAAAAAAUUAAAAGUACCGCGAGAAUGGUGUUUAUAAAGGUGCACUAGUUGAAUUUAUAUUAUAUUUGUAUAUUAUCAAUUAUUGGCUAAUCUAUAUUUUAAUUUGAGCUGAAUAAUUUUUUUGUAUAGAUAAUUGUUUAUAUACCAUUCAAAACUUCGAAAAUAUCUAAUUUAGGCCUACUUUUUUUUAUUUUCAAUAUACCCCCGUAUAUUUCUCCGUUAUUCAAAAAUGUCUCCGCAAUUAUCACUUGCUAAAUUAUCUCGGAUUAAACAUAAGUUAAAUAUAUACUAGAGUAAAAAAAUCAAAAUAUCUCUUUUGUCCUUAACUUAAGAACAAAUAAGAAAAAUUAGUGAUAAUAAAAAGAUAUAUUUGAAAAGACAAAACAUAAAAAUACUUUUUUUGUCUCUAACUUAAGAAUAAAUAAAAAAAAGUCGGUAAUAAUAAAAAGAUAUAUUUUAAAAGGUAAAAUAGCAAUUUUACAAAAAAUAGCGGUUGCUAAUCGUUCAUUAACAGAAUUUAACUAUAUAGGUAUAUUUAAAAUAAUUGAAAUGUUAAAUAAAUAUUUUUAAUAGUAAAAUUUUUUAAAAAAUAAAUCAGAAAGUCUAGAAUUUUCAAAAGUAUAUAAGCAAUUACUCCCUUUUUAAUUUUAU